rnacentral:rRNA from 1 species
UACGGGGGGAGCAAGCGUUGUUCGGAUUUACUGGGCGUAAAGGGCGCGUAGGCGGCCUCUGCAAGUCGACUGUGAAAUCUCCGGGCUUAACCCGGAACGGUCAGCCGAUACUGCAGGGCUAGAGUACAGAAGGGGCAACUGGAAUUCUCGGUGUAGCGGUGAAAUGCGUAGAUAUCAGGAGGAACACCAAUGGCGAAGGCAGCUCGCUGGGACGGUACUGACGCUGAGACGCGAAAGCGUGGGGAGCAAACAGG